CAAUAUUUUUUGUCAUACCGUCUUUAGCCAAAAAGCACCACGUUCGCGUGCUGGUUUAGGCCAAACACAGGUUCGAUCGACAGACAGAAAGGAUAGGAAAACACAUAAAAUUUACUAGUUAUGAUGACACUGCAAGAUGUUGUUGCAAAAGCCGAGUUGGUUUUAGCAGUUCUACUGCUGCGCUGGUGUUGCUACGACAGCUGAUUGCCCACCCUUCCAUGAUCAUCUUAUCCGCAAGACCAAAAGAGAGGCCGAUGAUCCAUUGAACGACCUAACAUUCUACCCUACUUCCAUACUACGUCGAGACAUGGCACCCACAAUCCGAAC
rnacentral:lncRNA from 1 species